UUCGCAAUGCCCGAAAGGGUGACGAACCGACGCCGCGUGCGGGAAGAAGGCCUUCGGGUUGUAAACCGCUGUCGGGAGUUAAGAAAUGUAAGGAUGUUAAUAGCAUCCUUACUUGACUAAGGCUCCGGAGGAAGCCACGGCUAACUCUGUGCCAGCAGCCGCGGUAAUACAGAGGCGGCAAGCGUUGUUCGGAAUUAUUGGGCGUAAAGAGCACGUAGGCGGCCGUGAAAGUCGGUUGUGAAAGCCUUCCGCUCAACGGAAGAACGGCAUCCGAUACUGCAUGGCUUGAGUGCGGGAGGGGAGAGUGGAACUUCUGGUGGAGCGGUGAAAUGCGUAGAUAUCAGAAGGAACGCCGGCGGCGAAAGCGACUCUCUGGCCCGUAACUGACGCUGAGUGUGCGAAAGCUAGGGGAGCAAACGGGAUUAGAUACCCCGGUAGUCCUAGCCGUAAACGAUGGGCACUAAGUAGAGGGGUUUU
rnacentral:rRNA from 1 species